UUGAGACGGAGUCUUGCUGUGUUGCCAGGCUGGAGUGCAGUGGCGCGAUCUCGGCUCACUGCAACCUCUGCCUCCCACGUUCAAGCGAUUUUCCUGCCUCAGCCUCCCGAGCAGCUGGGAUUACAGGCACGCACCGCAAUGCCCAGAGUGAGAGUUUCGACCAGGAGUGGAUACUGAGGAGAGCAAAGAUCACCUGGUGCUCAUCAAGCCGGACUUCCAGAGGCAAAGCUCCUUAACUGAAGAAUUCAGAAGUAAUUAGACUUCCCUAUUAUCCAAAGCAGGCAUCUGGUACCAGCCUUCUUUCCCCAAAAUUUAUAAGUAACUACAAUUUCUAUACAGCUCCAGAAUGCAUAUACAUCAAAACUCAUUUUGCACCCCUUGAUGACAUCAAGGCACCAGAAUGCCUAAAAAUGUAAUCAUCUAUCAUGACCUACAUAGUUAAUAUGGUCCCAACUUACCCUUAAGCUCCUGCUCUAAGGUCCAUACACACCCCUAAGGAACAUCCACUGCGGUGGACUCAGUUCUCUCUUGCUGAGGCUCCCACUGAACUCCUCUGCAGCAUUAUUUCUUUCUAAUAAAACUUUCCUUUUCAUCCAGUCUAUCAUUGAUGGGCAUUUAGGUUGGUUCCAUGUCUUUGCUAUUGUGAAUAGUACUGCAAUGAACAUAUGCACGUAUGUAUGUUUAUAACUGAAUUAUUUAUAUUCCUUUGGGUAUAUACCCAGUAAUGGGAUUGCUGGGUCAAAUGGUAUUUCUGUCUUUAGGUCUUUGAGGAAUCACCACCAUGGAAUACUAUGCAGCCAUAAAAAAGAAAGAUAACAUGUCCUUCACAGGGACAUAGAUGGAGCUGGAGGCCAUUCUCCUUAGCAAACUAAACUAUGUAACAAACCUAUACUUGUACCCCAGAACUUAAAAUAAAAGUUUAAAAAAGCCCUUUCCUUUUCAAAUCUAUACUGUUGUUGGUAAAUUCUUCUUACUACCCAUGAGUAAAUCACUUUUUGUUGCCUGAGAUCUGACACCUCACCCAGCAGGCACCUACCAUUUUUACUCCCCAUUUACCUGUCUAAGCAGGAAUUGGUGACUUAACAAAUUUGGAGGAAGAUUUUAGCAGAAAGAGAAUUUGAUCAGAGCCUAGUGACUCUAACUAACAGACCUAUUAGUAGGCAGUCAAGGUUCUCCAGAGAAAUAGAAGCAGUAGGACAUGGGGCAGGGAAAAGGAGAGAGAGAGAGAGAAAGAAAAAGAGAGAGAAAGGUACCAAGGAAUUGGCUCAUGUGUUAGGGGCUGGCCAAGCAAAUCUGAAAUCUGCAGGGCAGGCUGUCAGAAAGGGCAGGCAAGAAACUCUAAGGGCCGAGAGCUGUGGUCCACAGGUAGAAUUUCUUCUUCUCCGGGAAACCUCUUUCUAGUGUGGCAGCAAAUAAUGACUAAAUGGAUUUUGUGGCUAAGGCAGCACAGAGAUAUAGAAAAAGUUCAACAGGUAUUAUUAAAAGGCAUUUAAUCUCUAGGCAACUCAGCUAGAUGAAAUGCAAUGAAAGAGUCGCUGCUUUUUUCAGGAGAGAUACAUGAGGCAUCUUUACCUAAUAAACACCAUUUGUUAUAUUGAAGCUUUAGGGCCGAAGCCAAUG
rnacentral:lncRNA from 10 species